rnacentral:ncRNA from 1 species
GGGAAGCCGGUCCGAGUCCGGCGCUGACCCGCAGCCGUAGGCCGCCCCUCGGGGGUGCGGCGAGCCGGAGUACC